rnacentral:rRNA from 1 species
AGGGACCGGACAGAGCUGAAGGAGGUUGAGUGUAUUUGUGUUUCAUGGUGGAUAUGAUGGGCGUAGUGGAACUUAAUGACCGCCGCCAAUUGUGCUCUGCUGUGUUGCGCUAUUAUGCCCAGCCGACACCACGAUCAGUAGAUAAGUUGGUCUGACAUGGAGGGGAAGGUAGCUUGGUAUUUAUAUCAAGUGUUAUAGCCCGCCGUUCAGCACCAGCCGAGUACUGGUUCAAUGUGUGUGGUUGAAGUUGUGUUAUGUUACAAGGUAGCUAUGACAACUCAUAAAGAGAUGGCUUUGCUUUCUGAGCAUCAUGAUGUGACCUCUCAUCCAUGCAUAAGAAAUCUGUGGUGGAAUUGUAGGCAUUCUGUCCGACCCGUCUUGAAACACGGACCAAGGAGUUUAACAUGUGCGCGAGUCAUUGGGUCGUACGAAACCUAAAGGCGAAGUGAAAGUAAAGGCUAACCUUUGUUAGCUUAGGUAGGAUCCUGGCUUUACUGGGCAUUUAUGCACAUGGGCUGGGCGCACUACCAGCUCGUCCCAUGCUUUAUUAAGUGGGGCGAAGCAAGAGCGUACAUGUUGAGACCCGAAAGAUGGUGAACUAUGCUUGGGUAGGUUGAAGCCAGAGGAAACUCUGGUGGAGGACCGUAGCGAUUCUGACGUGCAAAUCGAUCGUCAAACCUGAGUAUAGGGGCGAAAGACUAAUCGAACCAUCUAGUAGCUGGUUCCCUCCGAAGUUUCCCUCAGGAUAGCUGGCACUCAUGAAUUAAACAGUUUUAUCCGGUAAAGCGAAUGAUUAGCAGUAUUGGGGACGAAAUGUCCUCAACUGAUUCUCAAACUUUAAAUGGGUGAGACGCUCAACUCGCUUAAUUGGAGUAGGGCAUCGAAUGUGAGUGCCAAGUGGGCCAUUUUUGGUAAGCAGAACUGGCGAUGUGGGAUGAACCAAACGUUUGGUUAAGGAGCCAAACACAACGCUCAUCAGAUACCACAAAAGGUGUUGGUUGAUUUUGACAGCAGGACGGUGGCCAUGGAAGUCGGAAUCCGCUAAGGAGUGUGUAACAACUCACCUGCCGAAUCAACCAGCCCUGAAAAUGGAUGGCGCUGGAGCGUUGGUCCUAUACCAGACCGUUACCGCGAAAUUGUAUGCGGUAACGAGUAGGAGGGCGCAGUGGUGAGCAUAGAAGCUUAGGCCGUGAGGCUGAGUGGAGCCGCCACUGGWGCAGAUCUUGGUGGCAGUAGCAA